UACGUAGGGUGCAAGCGUUAAUCGGAAUUACUGGGCGUAAAGCGUGCGCAGGCGGUUUUGUAAGUCUGAUGUGAAAUCCCCGGGCUCAACCUGGGAAUUGCAUUGGAGACUGCAAGGCUAGAAUCUGGCAGAGGGGGGUAGAAUUCCACGUGUAGCAGUGAAAUGCGUAGAGAUGUGGAGGAACACCGAUGGCGAAGGCAGCCCCCUGGGUCAAGAUUGACGCUCAUGCACGAAGGCGUGGGGAGCAAACAGG
rnacentral:rRNA from 1 species